rnacentral:rRNA from 1 species
UACGUAGGGGGCAAGCGUUGUCCGGAUUUACUGGGCGUAAAGAGCUCGUAGGUGGCUUGUUGCGUCUGCCGUGAAAGCCCGUGGCUUAACUACGGGUCUGCGGUGGAUACGGGCAGGCUAGAGGCUGGUAGGGGCAAGCGGAAUUCCUGGUGUAGCGGUGAAAUGCGCAGAUAUCAGGAGGAACACCGGUGGCGAAGGCGGCUUGCUGGGCCAGUUCUGACGCUGGGGAGCGAAAGCGUGGGGAGCGAACGAGG